rnacentral:rRNA from 1 species
AUUGAACGCUAGCGGCAUGCUUAACACAUGCAAGUCGAACGGCAGCGCGGGUAGCUUGCUACCUGGCGGCGAGUGGCGGACGGGUGAGUAAUGUGUAGGAAUCUACCUUAUAGUGGGGGAUAACCCGGGGAAACCCGGGCUAAUACCGCAUAAUCUCUACGGAUCAAAGAGGGGGACCUUCGGGCCUCGUGCUAUCAGAUGGUACUACGUCGGAUUAGCUAGUUGGUGGGGUAAAGGCCUACCAAGGCGACGAUCCGUAGCUGGUCGGAGAGGACGAGCAGGCACACUGGGACUGAGACACGGCCCAGACUCCUACGGGAGGCAGCAGUGGGGAAUAUUGGACAAUGGGGGAAACCCUGAUCCAGCAAUGCCGCGUGUGUGAAGAAGGCCUUCGGGUUGUAAAGCACUUUCAGUGGGGAAGAAAGAACCAAAAUUAAUACUUUUGGGUGUUGACGUUACCCACAGAAGAAGCACUGGCUAACUCUGUGCCAGCAGCCGCCGUAA